rnacentral:misc_RNA from 1 species
GGGGGGGGUGGGUGGGGUGGUGGCGGGGGAAGGAUUUAAUUUAAAUACUUGGAAAUGGCUCCACCCUGUCAUUCUCUUAUUUUUAUUGGCUUCAUACAACUUACAUACAUGAACUUGUAGUUCCAGUAACAUGAUAUAUAUCUUGUCUUUUCAGAGGCAGAUAUCAUUGGCAAGAAAUUAGGAGCAAAGGUUCGUGAAACAUGAAGUUUGCCGAUGCUGUAACAAAUUCAAGUAACCAACAUUCUAAUGAUUUAUUGUUGUCAAUUUGGAUAGAGAACACACAGAAAGGAAUAAAAAAAUGUGCACCUACAAAGGUCUUUGCUGUUUCCCUUUUUCUUUUCUUAAUUCAUUUGUCUUAAAAAUGAAAGGAGAAGAAAAUAAAGGUGAAAGAAAAAGGUACAUCAUGCUUUUAUUGCAAUUCACACUUCCAUUAGACCUUCAAAUGUAACAAUAUUCAACUGGAAUUAAAAACAAAAUACCUGUU